UUAACAAUAAACGUUGUCAUAAUUUUAUAGAAAAUAUCCUCGGAGUAUUUUAAAACUUUUUAACAGCUCCCAUGUAAACCGGUCUCUCAAUCAUCUUUGUUCGUUUCAUAGGAGCUUUAAUUUUGGCUGGUUUGACAGAAGUUUGCUCAAACAAUGUUUUCCAUUUCCGUCUCAGAAUUUAAUUACGGGAAGAAAUUAAAUAUGCUGCAGUGGUAUAGCACAAAUUAGUUCUAAUUGCUACUGCUCAGCGUGAAGCGGCCUGGUAUUUGGGCACUUUUAAAAUUGAAACACGAUCCACUAUUUAUGCAGCGAUGGAAUAUUUUAACGCAAAGGAUAUAUACUAUUAAUUACAGAUGGACGCACACCUUUGAUGAUAAGUAUUAGAUUGAAAAUAAAACUACAUAUCCAUAUUGAACACUUUCAUUUCUUUUUCAACAGUCUAUAAAAUAUUGUGGAUAUGGCGUAACGGAACCUCUGGGGAAAUAUGGUGCUUACUCCUAUGCGACUAAUUUAGGAAUUUUUCCAAAACCAUUGAAAACUAAAUGUGGAACGAUUUUAUAUUAAUAGUUAACAUAUAUAUGAAAUUUAAAUUCGUAAC
rnacentral:sRNA from 1 species